rnacentral:rRNA from 1 species
UACGUAGGUCCCGAGCGUUGUCCGGAUUUAUUGGGCGUAAAGCGAGCGCAGGUGGUUUAUUAAGUCUGGUGUAAAAGGCAGUGGCUCAACCAUUGUAUGCAUUGGAAACUGGUAGACUUGAGUGCAGGAGAGGAGAGUGGAAUUCCAUGUGUAGCGGUAAAAUGCGUAGAUAUAUGGAGGAACACCGGUGGCGAAAGCGGCUCUCUGGCCUGUAACUGACACUGAGGCUCGAAAGCGUAGGGAGCAAACAGG